UGAGAUUGAGCAUAGGCAGCAGCCUGCGA
rnacentral:sRNA from 1 species